UUUUGCAGAUCAUGAUCCGCUCGAUUAACGGGCAGGAGGGUGGAGGUCCUGCUAUCUCCUCUCUGCAGAUGAGGAGUUCUCUCAUCCGAACCUCACGGCUCAAGGAACAGAAAGCUGGACCAACGGUGGUCAAAUACAGUGGGCGCUUAACUACCUCAUGGGAGUGAAUGGAAAGGAGUUCCCAAGGACCCCGGGUUCUAGCCCCAGGGCCCUGUGGAUGGAUCUCACGUGGAAAGGGGGCUUUGCCUCUCAAGGAUCUGGCGAUGCGGAGAGCAGCCUGGGUUAUCCUGCAGCCACGAGAAUCUAAUACAUUCAUGAAAGGAGCCUGGAGGUGGGUGGCACCGGCGUUGAGAAGGAGGUAAUGACAUCACCCAGGGCCCUGGCUCCUUUCCCUCAGUCAUCCUUGAAUGUUGGCUACUUGUUCUCUGGCUCCUGACCUCACAGUCACAAGACGGCUGCCACUGCUCCAGGCGUCCCAUCCUCACACGACAGCCUCUGAAGCAGAGAGUGAGAAAGGGCAUGGAGUGGCAUCACGGUUCAAAGCUGGCAGCCCCUGGUCCCCAGACUGCACCGGGCCAGUUCCAGCUUCUGGGGCCUGAGAGGCACGGGCCUCGGGUUCCCUGUGAGAAUUGUUCCUGGUGAUAGACCUGUGGGCUCUCUGGGGGCUGAGCGAGAGCCGUCCUAACGGGGAGAUGGCCCAUCCAGGGCCAACACGGCACCUGUGCGUUCUCCCAUCCUCCUUCCCAAGGGAGUCCUGGCCAGGCCCCUCUCCUGUGUCCGAGGAGUCUUGCCAGCCCUCAUGGUCUGUGUCACGAUCUGCAGUAGCUGUCCCAUCAGGGCUGAUCUGGAAGGAGCCUUUCCUCCACAUGGCUUUUCCCAAGUCAGCCCUCAAGUGCUGUGAGCCUGGACCGCGCCCCUGUCCUCCAGGCAGCUGCCUGCACUCCACACCCAUGCGCGUGGCAGCUCUGCGCCCAGCAGCCCUCCUGGUGUGAUUUUUAUUUAUUUACCUGAAUACUGGAACAGCUGCUUUAUUGAGAUUCAUUGGUCGCAAGGCUUAAUUAAAAUAAUGCCACGCGUCUCACUCAGCGUGGGUCACCAAAGCAAAUGUUUGUUUUGCUGCUGUCAGUUAGGGCCACGUGUGAUGAAGCGGCGGCUCCCGGCAGGGAAGGCACGUGGGCCCUGACCCCCUGCACCUCCCUGGGUUGCA
rnacentral:lncRNA from 1 species